UCAGAGUGUGCCUGCCCAGGAGACUUCAAGAUGUGAGGCUGAUUUCCCCAUUUCCUGCUGAAAGAGUUCUCAGGGGAACAUUGCCCCAGCCACAGGUACUCGGCCCCUCAGGUUGUGAUGUAGACACUGGGGAGAACCUGACCCCACCUGAGCUGUCAUGGACAUCUCUGCAGGCACGACAACAGACAGCCACAUGGACAGCCACUGCAGGCCGCUUCCAGGAGGCUGAGAGUGGGGCCAAGCAUGAGAAAACUGAGAUCCCAAGUGUGAAGACCAUUCAUUUCCCAAACAAGUUCUAGCUGUCAGCUCAAUGCCAGAUGACCGACUACCCCAAACCAUGCCUGCUCCUCAACAGAUAAG